rnacentral:rRNA from 1 species
UACGUAGGGGGCAAGCGUUGUCCGGAAUCAUUGGGCGUAAAGCGCGUGUAGGCGGCCCGGUAAGUCCGCUGUGAAAGUCCAGGGCUCAACCCUGGAAUGCCGGUGGAUACUGUCGGGCUCGAGUCCGGAAGAGGCGAGUGGAAUUCCUGGUGUAGCGGUGAAAUGCGCAGAUAUCAGGAGGAACACCAAUGGCGAAGGCAGCUCGCUGGGACGGUACUGACGCUGAGACGCGAAAGCAUGGGGAGCGAACAGG